rnacentral:rRNA from 1 species
UGAGGAAUAUUGGUCAAUGGGCGCAAGCCUGAACCAGCCAUGCCGCGUGAAGGAUGAAGGCCCUAUGGGUUGUAAACUUCUUUUGUACGGGAAGAAACUUCCGAACGUGUUCGGAACUGACUGUACCGUAAGAAUAAGCAUCGGCUAACUCCGUGCCAGCAGCCGCGGUAAUACGGAGGAUGCAAGCGUUAUCCGGAUUCAUUGGGUUUAAAGGGAGCGUAGGCGGAAUGAUAAGUCAGUGGUGAAAGCCUGCGGCUUAACCGUAGAAAUGCCAUUGAUACUGUCGUUCUUGAGUAUAGUUGAGGUGGAUGGAAUGUGUAAAGUAGCGGUGAAAUGCUUAGAUAUUACACAGAACACCGAUUGCGAAGGCAGUUCACUAAGCUAUUACUGACGCUGAGGC